rnacentral:rRNA from 1 species
CUACGGGACGCUGCAGUGGGGAAUAUUGCACAAUGGAGGAAACUCUGAUGCAGCAACGCCGCGUGGAGGAUGACACUUUUCGGAGCGUAAACUCCUUUUAUAUAGGAAGAAGAUGACGGUACUAUAUGAAUAAGCGCCGGCUAACUCCGUGACCAGCAGCCGCGGUACUACGGAGGGCGCAAGCGUUACUCGGAAUCACUGGGCGUAAAGAGCGUGUAGGCGGAUUAAAAAGUCAGAAGUGAAAUCCUAUAGCUUAACUAUAGAACUGCUUCUGAAACUCUUAAUCUAGAAUAUGGGAGAGGUAGAUGGAAUUUCUGGUGUAGGGGUAAAAUCCGUAGAGAUCAGAAGGAAUACCGAUUGCGAAGGCGAUCUACUAGAACAUUAUUGACGCUGAGACGCGAAAGCGUGGGGAGCAAACAGGAUUAGAUACCCCAGUAGUC